UGGGGGAUAUUGCACAAUGGGGGAAACCCUGAUGCAGCGACGCCGCGUGGAGGAAGAAGGUUUUCGGAUUGUAAACUCCUGUCGUUAGGGACGAUAAUGACGGUACCUAACAAGAAAGCACCGGCUAACUACGUGCCAGCAGCCGCGGUAAAACGUAGGGUGCAAGCGUUGUCCGGAAUUACUGGGUGUAAAGGGAGCGCAGGCGGACCGGCAAGUUGGAAGUGAAAACUAUGGGCUCAACCCAUAAAUUGCUUUCAAAACUGCUGGCCUUGAGUAGUGCAGAGGUAGGUGGAAUUCCCGGUGUAGCGGUGGAAUGCGUAGAUAUCGGGAGGAACACCAGUGGCGAAGGCGACCUACUGGGCACCAACUGACGCUGAGGCUCGAAAGCAUGGGUAGCAAACAGGAUUAGAUACCCUGGUAGUCCAUGCCGUAAACGAUGAUUACUAGGUGUUGGAGGAUUGACCCCUUCAGUGCCGCAGUUAACACAAUAAGUAAUCCACCUGGGGAGUACGACCGCAAGGUUGAAACUCAAAGGAAUUGACGGGGGCCCGCACAAGCAGUGGAGUAUGUGGUUUAAUUCGAAGCAACGCGAAGAACCUUACCAGGUCUUGACAUCCGAUGAAUAGCUUAGAGAUAAGUGAAGUCCUUCGGGACAUCGAGACAGGUGGUGCAUGGUUGUCGUCAGCUCGUGUCGUGAGAUGUUGGGUUAAGUCCCGCAACGAGCGCAACCCUUAUUGCCAGUUACUACGCAAGAGGACUCUGGCGAGACUGCCGUUGACAAAACGGAGGAAGGUGGGGAUGACGUCAAAUCAUCAUGCCCUUUAUGACCUGGGCUACACACGUACUACAAUGGCGUUUAACAAAGAGAAGCAAGACCGCGAGGUGGAGCAAAACUCAAAAACAACGUCUCAGUUCAGAUUGCAGGCUGCAACUCGCCUGCAUGAAGUCGGAAUUGCUAGUAAUCGCGGAUCAGCAUGCCGCGGUGAAUACGUUCCC
rnacentral:rRNA from 1 species